rnacentral:rRNA from 1 species
GAUGAACGCUAGCGAUAGGCUUAACACAUGCAAGUCGAGGGGCAGCACAAGGUAGCUUGCUAUCUGGGUGGCGACCGGCGCACGGGUGCGUAACGCGUAUGCAACUUGCCCUAUACAGGAGGAUAACCCGUCGAAAGACGGACUAAUACUGCGUAUGCUCACAACUUGGCAUCAAGUGGUGAGGAAAGAAAUUCGGUAUAGGAUAGGCAUGCGUCCCAUUAGCUUGUUGGUGAGGUAACGGCUCACCAAGGCAACGAUGGGUAGGGGAACUGAGAGGUUUAUCCCCCACACUGGUACUGAGACACGGACCAGACUCCUACGGGAGGCAGCAGUGAGGAAUAUUGGUCAAGGGGCGCGAGCCUGAACCAGCCAAGUCGCGUGAAGGAUGACUGUCUUAUGGAUUGUAAACUUCUUUUAUACGGGAAUAACAAGAGUCACGUGUGACUCCCUGCAUGUACCGGAUGAAUAAGCAUCGGCUAACUCCGUG